CAGGGGCCGGGGGAGAGAGACGGGGAGUCAGCGUUUAACGGGGACGGUUUCGUUUGUGCAGGAUGAACAGUGUCGUGGCCAGACGGAGGUGGCGGCAGCAGAACACGGCGAAUGUCCUCGACACCCCGGAGCGCGCGACGCUUAAACUUCAGAUGUUGAGACGGGGACCUUGUGAGCUCCCAGCGUGAAAAGCGACUUGUGUCCCUCCCGCUGGAAUGUCCACGGGCCCAGGACCUCGCGGGGCCGAGGGAUGAGUCACGGCUUCUUGGAACUGUGGGAACUAAUCCAGGAACAGCUGCCAACGUCAUUAUUAUUGUUCACCAAGGCGUCAGACCUUUACCGCGUGCUCACGGCCGGCUCCGGGAGACGCAGAGCUGAGCGUGUGAUCUGGUGCCUGGGGACAGCUCCUCGACUUGUCAUCUCGUCUCGACCGCUGGCUGCGGAACCGGAGAUGACGGCUUCGCAAACACCCCUCGGCCUGGUUGGCGGGCAUGGGCAGCUUUUCCUUCUUCCCUUCUCCCCCUUGACACCCGAUCGGACCGAAGCCUGUGAACCACCUACUUCUGAAACUGCACUUGUGAACCCCGAGGCGCCCUCGGCCAGCGGUCCAGCCAAGACCCCUUCCCUCUGGCCGGAUCUGCGCGUCUUUGUCUGUCCCCGGCGCCCACGGCUCCCCCGGAGGCCAUCCUACGUGCGACUUCCAGGUCUCAAAGCAGAAGCCAGGGCUGUCAGGAACCCGCGAUGGCUUCUCACGGGCGGACGAAAGUCAGGCUUCUGGAGUCUGGCUGAAGACUUUGGCCUCUUCGAAGGAUUUUGAGCCGUUACAGAAUUUAAUCGGAGGCUUUUUUGCGUCACCGACAGAGACUUUUAAAGCCUAUAAACAAAGGAUGGUGAUCAAAAAGCCCGGGACCCUGACCCCCGCAAAUCCUCGCACCGUUCUGUCAAAAUGGAGAUGUGUUUCUUUUGGUUUCCCUAAAUUUCUAUUGACUUAAACAACUUCUCCGACAGAGAUGACCUCCACCCCUCCAGGAUUAACCGGUGAGAAAGGAAAAGGGAGAACGUGCAAGAAACGUUCGCUUGGAUCCAUCAGUCACAACCAGGACACACCUACCCAGGUCGUAAACGUUGAGAAACCUGCUCUAUGCAGCCGCUGCGUCCGGGAUGAUAGCCACGUGGUCGGGAGCAGCUGUGACGCUCUCAGAAGUGGUGGAUCCGUCUGCAGAUCCGAUGGACCGGGGCGAAAUGGUGGUUGAUUUUACGUAUUACCUUGCCUGGGCCACAGCACCCGGAAAGUGGCUCAAACAUUAUUGCAGGUGAUUCUCUGAAGCUGUUUUUUUUAGAUGAGAUUAACACUGAAAUCGGCAGACUUUGAGAAAAGCGGAUCACCCUCUGCUGUGUGGGUGGGCCCCGUCCAAUCAGUUGAAGCGUUAAUAAAAAAAAAAGGUUAAUAAAAAAAGGUCUCCUGAGGAAGAGGGGAUUCUGCCAGCAGACGACCUUCGGAUGUGAACUGCGACACUGACCCCUCUCUCGGUCCGCUGCCUGCCCACCUGCCCUGCAGGUUUUGGCUACAUCAUGCCCACGGUUGUGUGAGUCAUCACCUUAAAAUAAAAAAAAAUGUCCUCUUUUUUUCUGUACAGAUACACACACACACACACACGCACGCACGCACAGAACGCCAACUGACGCAAAGAAGUAGGGGCGUGCUUUUGAGACUUUGAGACCCAAAGGACAAUGGGAAGAGAGAUUUACUCAAAGGGACAGAGGACGGGUCAGGGGGUGCGGGGAGAGAGCAUGGGAGACCGGGCCACUUCUGGGCGGCAAGCUGCAGAGGGCACUUUGCAGCUCUCUCUGGGCCAUGCCCUUCCCCAACCCCCGUCCCCACACCCCCACCUGCACCUCAAGACCUCGAGCCACUGGAGAGAGACCUCUGCGGUAGGAGGGGAGUGGCACUGGCUUUGGGGACCCGAAGAGAAGGACUGAUGAGGUCUUUCUUGACCAGUGGUUCGUUCUGAAGAAAUUCAUAUUCUAAAUGUUUUCCACGUUCUUCAUUUGGGCUUCCCUUAAGGAGAACGGUUUUUGUUAUUCUGUUUAAAAGCCUUUUUUAAAGUGAUAAGCUCAUUGCUGUGCUUUUGUUAUUCGGCCAGUCAGGAGAUGGGGUGACGAAGCAUUUGAAUGGUUCUCAGUCUCCACUGGGCGGGAGAGUCCCCAGGAGAGCCUGUCCAGCGCAGGUCACCACCCCCCAGAAGCCCCCUGGGCGUGAAGGUCUCCGGCUAGGAGCUGAACUGGCUGCUCUACGGACGCUCCGGGACACUCCGGCGUCGACGGUCUUCGCAACCCUGCAUCCGUCAAUAGCUCGCCAUGUGCAGAAAACCCAUUUUCAUGGAAUUUUAAUGUUUUAGAUAUGGAUCCGUGGCAGAAAACCUAAUAAAAGCCUAAUUUAAAAUGGCUUUGAGGUCAACUAUCUGAGCGUUCUUUUCCAUCAUGCUGCUUCUGGAAAAUACAAAAAUAAAUCAACAGCCGAGAACCCUAUGAUCUCCACAGUAGGAAUUGCCCAGUGGUGGUUUCCUGUGGACCCUGUGCCCGCACGUGGCAGUCACGUGGAAGGCCCCACGCGCCCCCGGGAGGCAGGCGGACGCCCCGUGAUGGGCCUGGCACAGCCCCGGCCCGCGAGGCCACUCAGCCGCGCCUGUCCCGGAGCUGUUCUCCCUUCACCGGCCCUGCCUUGCAGACAGUCCUUGGCUCUCAAAGAAGCUACUGGAGCAAUCGGCAGGCGAGUCGCAGAAGGCGGCGAUCACAGUCUGCAGCAUCUUUGCUGACUUAAAGCGAGCAGAGGGCGCGAGGCGCACUGAGGGGGGCAGGCGGGCCACGCUGAGGACAGGGACGGCGGCGUGUAACCAGCUGGCUCAUGGCUUAAUGCUCCGUAAAUACGAGGGCCACCUGGCCGAGGCCCUUUUUGGCAAACGCCACGCGGAGGGUCUGCGCUCACGUGAGAACAAACGCGGAGAAGCUGCGCCGAGUCUUCCUGUCACCUGCGAACGCCUGGCCACAGCCAGUCGAAAGGGAGACGCACAUGAGUCCCCAUUCCUGCACGGUCACCUGGCAGGGUAGGCCUGUGUCCGCCGAGGGAGUAAGAGCCGACAGUGUGCAAGGCCGACUUCCACGUCCUGCCUCCUCGCCACCCCCCGCCCCCCGCAAAUCCCAAGGAUGGCUCGUGACCGUCAGGAGGCCACUGUGUCCAGCAGCCAGAACCUCAGUGCUGAAGACAGAGGGGGCUGUGCUGUCUCAUGAGCGCCUCCAGUUAGAAUCGUCUGGGCUGGUGACAGGCAGAAGUGUCCCUCCGCACACUGAAGCGGGCACCGUGGGAGAGAGGCUUCGGAGCCUGGUGAGUUCGGUCCUCGGAAGCUCAGACCGUGAGGCGUGGGCCGCUGGCCUGUGAGGAGCCGAGAAUGCUUCGGCCCACGGCACUUUGCAGGUGAGUGCACACCUGCCGCAGAGAUGGGGCGGCUGGUGCGAUGGACUGAUGAAUCACGUCUACCGCCGGUUGGAGUUAGCUGCCGAGUUGCGUCUUCCCCCGAAGGAGCCGGAUAAGGACGGUCGUCUUUCGUGACAUAAAAUGCGUCGCAGAUCUUUGUGGCAUGGAGAUCGGGAGGGGGCAGGGAUACAGGGACACCCGGAGAAGCGCGGCCGGUGAGCGUUUGACGUGUGACAUUUGAGGAAAAUUGGUUCGGACGCCGAUCCUCGUGACCCGGAUUCCCCGGGGGCCCACGGAACGGUCGCCUUUUUCACCGGAGCAAGGCGGCCCUCCCCUGACCCCCACAGCGAGCCUUUGGGCUACUCACGCCUGUCCUGCUCGCAGGCUCCGGAGGAACUGGGUGACACACUCUCUGCCCAGGGCUCCGGCCCAGGACGACCAAGCCUUUGCUCGCGCCAGCCGGGCCCAGAUCGUCCUCGAGUCAACGGGCGGCCAGACAGCAGCGUCGCCUCUGGACUCACGGACGCCAGCCGAGCCCGUCGAAUGCAGAAGACGCCUCCUGACUGCGAAACCCGCUGGGCUCAGAUUCAGCAGGCCCGUCACAGACGCCACCCACAGGCCUGGGGACGCCCACACCUCGUCCUCUGCGGCCACAGAGAGACAUCGGGCUGUGAACCUUACUAGGUUCGAGGCCGUGGCUGCUGCCCCAGGCAACGCCAGAGCGGCGCCCGCCGGCCUGCGACUCCCCAGAUGGCGUUGUUAAAGGGGUCCAUCCGUAGCCAUUUGUGGCAAAGGUCUAGGUCACUCCAAACAGCACUAGAAAAGGGCACUGUGCUCAGCAGACGCCAGGAGGAAGCCAGAGCGGUCUGAGCCCGAGGGCAGGCCGAAGACAAGCCCAGUCAGGUCCCUACGCUGCGUUAACUGAGGAAUUUGCCAGAUGCCAGCCCUCCGCCAUUUUCCUCGGAGCUCGGGGCCACCGCAGAUGCCGGUGGGACCCGGCAGGACGCUGUCAGGGCGGAGGGCCUAGCACCCCCUCAGCCACGCUGCACCCAGCAAGGUCGUGGCAGGAGCCCAGCUUACAGGACACCAUUCGAGAGAGUAUUGUCUCAGUUUUCCCAAGAACGAAGCUCAGUCAGCUCUACUCCACACACCUGGGAGAAGUCAACAGCCGAACCCCUCGGGCGUCAGGAGCCCCAGGUGAGAACGGCAGGCAGAGGGACUCCGGGGCCCAGGUUCUGUGGUGGCCCCACUAAAGCCGGUCCCUCAAUGACAGGAUGCUGCAGAGACAGCCCUCCGCCCUCCGUGCGUGCCCGUGGGCUCACGCUCAUCCGAGGGCUGGAGCACAUGCAGGUGACAGGUGGCCGGCCCGUGCCUCGCAGAGCGGUGCCCGGCGGGCAGGGAGCAGCGGGCUGCAGGUCGGGGCCAUGCUCGUGGCUUUGUGUGGGCGGCUCCUCCCCCCGGGCACCGACGGCUGAGGCCGGCCGUGGCGUCUAAUUCUGCCACCUCUCUAGUCCCUGGAGACUUGUUCCAGCCCACGGCAGGCUCUCGCUGGCAGAUCCGGCACUAGGAAGCUUGGCCAGAGGGUAACAGUCCAGCCUGCCCCCAAGCCAAAGCAGAACCGGGACGCUUCGGCCGAGCUGAGGUCACGGUCACCUCGCCGGCACGGUUACCGUCUCGG